rnacentral:rRNA from 1 species
AAUGAACGCUAGCGGCAGGCUUAAUACAUGCAAGUCGAGGGGCAGCAGGGCGUAGCAAUACGCUGCUGGCGACCGGCAAACGGGUGCGGAACACGUACGCAACCUUCCUUUAAGUGGGGGAUAGCCCAGGGAAACUUGGAUUAAUACCUCGUAAUAUUAUGAGACGGCAUCGUCUUAUAAUUAUAGCUCCGGCGCUUAAAGAUGGGCGUGCGCCUGAUUAGGUAGUUGGCGGGGUAACGGCCCACCAAGCCUUCGAUCAGUAACUGGUGUGAGAGCACGACCAGUCACACGGGCACUGAGACACGGGCCCGACUCCUACGGGAGGCAGCAGUAAGGAAUAUUGGACAAUGGACGCAAGUCUGAUCCAGCCAUGCCGCGUGAAGGAUUAAGGUCCUCUGGAUUGUAAACUUCUUUUAUAAGGGACGAAAAAAGGUCUUUCUAGAUCGUCUGACGGUACCUUAUGAAUAAGCACCGGCUAACUCCGUGCCAGCCGCCGCAGUAAGAC